rnacentral:rRNA from 1 species
UACAUGGGGUGCAAACGUUGCUCGGAAUUACUGGGCGUAAAGCGCGUGUAGGCGGUCUCGCAAGUCGGAUGUGAAAGCCCAGGGCUCAACCCUGGAAGUGCACUCGAUACUGCGAGGCUAGAGUCCCGGAGAGGAUGGUGGAACUCUCGGUGUAGAGGUGAAAUUCGUAGAUAUCGAGAAGAACACCGGUGGCGAAGGCGGCCAUCUGGACGGUGACUGACGCUGAGGAGCGAAAGCGUGGGGAGCGAACAGG